rnacentral:rRNA from 1 species
GACGAACGCUGGCGGCGUGCUUAACACAUGCAAGUCGAACGGUGAAGCGCCUUCCUUUUUGGUGGGUGUGGAUGAGUGGCGAACGGGUGAGUAACACGUGAGUAACCUGCCCCCUUCUUCUGGAUAACCGCAUGAAAGUGUGGCUAAUACGGGAUAUUCUGGGUCUGUCGCAUGAUGGGUCUGGGAAAGAUAUUGUUUCGGUGGGGGAUGGGCUCGCGGCCUAUCAGCUUGUUGGUGGGGUGAUGGCCUACCAAGGCGGUGACGGGUAGCCGGCCUGAGAGGGUGGACGGUCACACUGGGACGGAGACACGGCCCAGACUCCUACGGGAGGCAGCAGUGGGGAAUAUUGCACAAUGGGCGCAAGCCUGAUGCAGCGACGCCGCGUGAGGGAUGGAGGCCUUCGGGUUGUGAACCUCUUUCGCCAGUGAAGCAGGCCUGCCUCGUUUGUGGGUGGGUUGACGGUAGCUGGAUAAGAAGCUCCGGCUAACUACGUG